AUUGAACGCUGGCGGCAGGCCUAACACAUGCAAGUCGAGCGGUUGAGGGGAGCUUGCUCCCUGAUUCAGCGGCGGACGGGUGAGUAAUGCCUAGGAAUCUGCCUAUUAGUGGGGGACAACGUUUCGAAAGGAACGCUAAUACCGCAUACGUCCUACGGGAGAAAGCAGGGGACCUUCGGGCCUUGCGCUAAUAGAUGAGCCUAGGUCGGAUUAGCUAGUUGGUGAGGUAAUGGCUCACCAAGGCGACGAUCCGUAACUGGUCUGAGAGGAUGAUCAGUCACACUGGAACUGAGACACGGUCCAGACUCCUACGGGAGGCAGCAGUGGGGAAUAUUGGACAAUGGGCGAAAGCCUGAUCCAGCCAUGCCGCGUGUGUGAAGAAGGUCUUCGGAUUGUAAAGCACUUUAAGUUGGGAGGAAGGGCAGUAAGUUAAUACCUUGCUGUUUUGACGUUACCGACAGAAUAAGCACCGGCUAACUCUGUGCCAGCAGCCGCAGUAA
rnacentral:rRNA from 1 species